CUCAAAAUACGCUUUGGAUAAAAACGUAACCAAAUCACGUUCGAAUGACCUGAAAUUUUGCACGCACAUCCCAAAUGGCAUGACGGAGCUGCUAAAACUUCCGGAAUUCCUUUCCGUCCCUCGGAUAAAAACCUCAUUAGUAGACAGGAAACUUCAAAAUUUCAAACUUCGGCAUUUUAAGACUAAAUUAGCUACGGACCUCCAAAACACAUUCUGAACACGCACCCAGCCCCGAAAUCACCUAAUGGAGCUAACGGAACUAUCAUAUUUUCAUUCUGAGGCCGUCUUCACACGAUUCCAAUUACGGACAACUUUCCAAUACUUAAGCUAUAAUUUAGGGACUAAGUGUCCCAAAACUCUUCGAAACCAAAAAUCGAACAGCCCGGCAAACCAAAAUAGCAGAAAAUUAUCUUGAAAAAAGCAGAUAAUAGGGUAUCGGGGCAUAAAUUCUAAAAACGACCAGCCAGGUCGUUACAAUUUCCCUCACUAUUAUGUCCUUUCCUUACUGUAUCAUCUCUCCUCUAUAUGUAUGUUCUUGUGUGAUUGAGAAUGAGGGGAGGGAGGAAAUUUGUCUCUGAUGUGGUGUAUUCCGGCGAUUUUGAGUGCUCGUCGGCACUAAGGGAUGGUGUGAAGAAGCAUCAUCCGCUGCCUGAAGGGUGUUGGGAUGGAAAUCGUGAUCAUGUGUGCAACGAUGGGGUCUUCUUUGGCGAGCUGUGGUGAUGAGAGUGCAGAUUUCCGGGGUUUUGAGAGGUGGAUGACGGUUGUGUUGGUUUUUUGGGGCGUUAGGGUUUAUUGGUAGUGUGUACAUGAAGAAGAUGAAGAUGGUUGGGCCUUGUAUAGGAGACAGUGGCGGCUAGGCUACUCCCUUAGGGUUGGCGGCAACGGUUAGGUGUUGGAGACGUUUUUCCUUUGUUUUCUGUCUUGUGU
rnacentral:lncRNA from 1 species